rnacentral:rRNA from 1 species
UAAUACGGAGGGGGCAAGCGUUACUCGGAAUUAUUGGGCGUAAAGGGCGCGUAGGCGGUCCUGUGCGUCGGAGGUGAAAUCCCCGGGCUUAACCCGGGAGCUGCCUCCGAUACGGCGGGACUUGAGUCCGGGAGAGGGGAGCAGAAUUCCCAGUGUAGCGGUGAAAUGCGUAGAUAUUGGGAGGAAUACCAGUGGCGAAGGCGGCUCCCUGGACCGGUACUGACGCUGAGGCGCGAAAGCGUGGGUAGCAAACAGG